GAACACAACCGGCGCCAGGGUCCCAGGGAGAGAGGCAGCAGGAAGUGAGGCUGAGGGGCUGUCUGUGUUGCGCAGGGAGCCGGGCAGGGCUGUUUUCCAUGGCUGCCGGCCCUCUCCUUAGAUGACUACACAGCUGCUUUUCACAGCGCUCAGCCUGCCCUCCUGGAGGGAGCAUUUGAGGAGAAAAUCCAUCUCAACAUCCACAUGUGUAUGACUGGAACGCGGGGCAGGGCGAGGAAGACCAAAGCUCCCCCACUUUCAGGAGGCGACUCCCCCUUCUCUGCUGGACAGGGGCGAGCAGGAACCACGUUGGCUUUGGAAGUUCACAGGGCAGUGGAUCAGGGCCACAGGAGGAACAAGAUGGUGCAGCUGCAGGCACUUCCGAGUGACAAGAGACAGGCAUGCGUUCCAGGUGAUCUGCGGGGCACCCACUCACAGGGCUUGGCAAGGUCCUGCAGUCAUGGGGAACGUGAACGUUCUGACCCAGGCCUUCUGUCAUUGGUCCCAAGCCCACAUCAUUUCUGCGACAGCGUAACUAUCCAGUAAGUCAUCUGCUUACCAGUGUCCCCCGAGCCAAGGACAGUGAUGGAAAGCCGUGUGGAAUCACUCCGGAAGAGGAACGUCGGUGGCCCUUUAAGCAGGAUGAAGUCGAUCCUACAGGCCACCCGGUUUGCCACGUGGCACAUGCUGUGCUAAGUGCUCCCCGUGACCUCGUUCAAUCCCUGCAGAGCCCCUGCUGGCCGUUGUGGUACGGUUGGCACCAGCACGGACUCCAGAGCCCACCGCCUGGCCUGUGGUCCCAGCUCUGCCCUUAUUAGCGGUGGAACCUGGGCAGCAACUUAACCUCUCCGUGCCUCCGUUUCCUCAUCCAUAAAAUAAGAAUAGCACUGGUACCCCUGCACAGGGCUGCUGCGAGAAUCAAGUGAGCUAGUAUCUGCUUAGAGAAAGCCUGUUAACAGUGCAUGCUUCCCAUGACUGCAGUAACAAAGUCCUGCAAAUUUAGAGGCUGAAAAGAACACAAGUUUUGGAAGCUAGAAGUCCAACAUGCAUCUCCCUGGGCUAGAAUCAAGGUGUGGGCAGGGCCAGUUCCUCCGAGGGCUCCAGAGGAGGAUCCCUUCCUUGUCUUUUCCAGCUUCUAGAGGCCGCCUGCAUUCCUUGGCUCGUGGCACCUCCUUCAUCUUGAAGCAACAUUGUAUCUUUCUGACCUCAGCCUCUGUCAUCACAUCAUCAUUCUCUGAUUCUCUAUUCUGCCUCCUUCUUCCAUAUUUAAGGACCCUGUGAUUACAUUCGACCCACCUGGAUAACCCAGGGGAAUCUCCCUAUUUUAAGGUCAGCUGAUUGGCAGCCUGCGUUCCACCUGCUACCUGAAUGCCCCUCUGCCACAGAAGGGUGCCUCGCUGGAAAUUAAUGCAAGGGGAGCUAGUGUGGUCUGUGAAGGCUCCUUUGAGCAGGCGACAUCUGAGCUGCCCUCUGAAGAUGACAAGGAUCCAAACGUGACAGGGAGAAGGAGGCGCUGCAGGCAGAGGACAAAGGUGCUAGAUGGACCCAAAGUUAAGGACACAGGAUUCCUCCCCUCUGAAGGGCACAGCAACAAGGCGCCACCAUGGAAGCAGGGUCCAGGCCCUCACCCGACACGAAGCCUGCCAGGGCGUUGAUCUUGGACAUCCCAGCCUCCAGAGCAGGGUACGUUCUGCUUUUUAUAAAUUACCUAGUCUCAGAUAUUUUGUUACAGCAGCAGGAAUGGACUAAGACACAGUGCAUGCUGGUGACCUUGUGUAAAUACCAAAAAUGUCCCAAUUGGCAGUUCCUGUCCCCACCUGAUAGCUCCUCUCAGCCCACACGUGGGCAGACCAGGGGUGCUAGGGGGUCCUCAGUAGCCAUGGAUGGGAGUUGGAGGAUAAAUACCCCCAAUUCCUCACCUUUUGGGUGGGAUAUGCUGAGAGUGUUCUAUACCAUCUCCUGAGGUUCCCAGCAGGGCUGAGCUAGUCAAAGGUCAAGUUAUUAAGAUUUUCCAGAUGGCAAUGGCUGAGUGUUAAGCCCAGCCCAGGGCUCUCUGAGGGAAUGUCCUGUAUGGCUGCACAGGGUGUGCUGAAGCCCCACCAUCUUUUCUUGUAAUAAUUCUGCUUGUUUAUUCACCUUAUUUUAUUUUUAAAAAAUUGUUCUUAGCUUAAGCUAGCUCAAGUGGGUUUUAUGUUACAUACAACUAAGGAAACUUUGACCAGGCAGGUAUGAGAAGACUCAGAGGUUCCCUUUCCUGGGUAGCAUUUUUCCAUUUUAAUGAUGCUGCUUUGGAGAUAGCACCAAAAUGACUCUAAUGGAGAAGACUUCAGGAAGGUCUCCUUUGGGAGACUUGGCAGCUCCACAUCUGGCCCAAGGGCCUGCUGGUCCUGGCCCAAAGCACCAUUCCAGCCUCCAGACAGUGAUGUCUUUGUCUUAUUUUACACUGCUAUAACAGAAUGCCACAGGCUGGGAAAUGAACAGAAAUUUAUUUGGCUCCUGGUUCUGGAGGCUGGGAAGUCCAAGAUCAAGGGGUUGCAUCUGGUGAGGAACUUCUUGCAGUGUCAUCCCACGGCAGAAGUGUCAGAGAGCCAGAGAGAGCAAUGUGGCCAACUCAUAGCCUCAGGCCCCUUUGUAAUUGUCAUUAAUCCUUCCAUGGGGUGGAAGGAUUGAUGACCUAAACCCCUCCCAUUAGGCCCCGCCUCCCAACAUUGUUGCCCUGGAGAUUAAGUUUGCAACACAUGCUUUUUGGGGGAUGGAUUCAAUACAGAGCAGUCUUGGAUUCAGUUUUUCAGCAAGACUUACACACACCUUUCGAUGGAAAGAAAUGGGUCACAGAGAAGGCAGCAUUUGGUCCAAAAUCCCAAGGUUGAAAACCACCAAAGGCAACUUGCUUCCAAGGUUCCAACUGCAUAAUUCAGAAAAAAGACAACCUGACCAUGGAAAGUGUUACCCCAAUGCCUGGAGGGCAGCCUGGAGACUGCUGCAGAGGCCAUGGAACUAUUUGGUGGCCCAAAGGAUGGGAAAUUAUGACCAUAAACAACCAAAGAGCAAAUACAGAAGGGGAAAAAUCUCCUGGAUGAAGCAGGUAUAGAAAAUUGGUUUUGUUUCAGGCACAAACUCUCAUCCACUGCCAGAGACUUUCUAGAGGCCUGGGAUUGAUGAGUGAGGUCUGACAAGGACACAGAAUGGGGAGAAUGAACGGCAAGCUCUUGGCAUGCUGGAAAGGAGAGUUCUCAUCGGUAUCACUGUCUCUGCUCCUGUAGUGAGCUGUGCACAACAUUAUUCUGAAGCUGGAAAGGUAGUCUGGGGCCAGUUACACAAGAAGAGCUUUCAGUGCCCAGAAUGAAAGAAGGAGCCUCGCUCCGUCGCCCAGGCUGGAGUGCAGUGGCGUGAUCUCGGCUCACUGCAACCUCCGCCUCUCGGGU